UACGUAGGUGGCAAGCGUUAUCCGGAUUUACUGGGUGUAAAGGGCGUGUGGGCGGGAAUGCAAGUCAGAUGUGAAAACCAUGGGCUCAACCUGUGGCCUGCAUUUGAAACUGUUUUUCUUGAGUACUGGAGAGGCAGACGGAAUUCCUAGUGUAGCGGUGAAAUGCGUAGAUAUUAGGAGGAACACCAGUGGCGAAGGCGGUCUGCUGGACAGCAACUGACGCUGAGGCGCGAAAGCGUGGGGAGCAAACAGG
rnacentral:rRNA from 1 species